UUGCUACUUACUUGUGAUAGCCUAUCAAGCAUCACAAAGGAAUAUUGUUUAUUUCUUUUCUUUCCCAACCACUCAUUCAAAAUAUCUAUUCUUCCUCUCAUCUCACCACACAUUCAAAUUUCUGAUCACACUCUCUCUUCACGUGGGCCCCACCCACACCAAUCAGAAUUCAAUACUCUCUCUCACUCAUUCCACUCUCUCACGCUCUCACUCUCUCAUUCUCCCCUCUCACUCGACAUCUCUCUUCUCUCUUCUUCUCCAAACCCAUUUUCUUCUUCUUCUCUUUUCUCAUCACCAAGUCUUUUUCUUCUUCUUCUCCCUUGAUAGAGCACCACCACCAACGCCCCUCUUACUCUCUCUCGGCCACAACACCACCUUGGCUGCUCCCUUCGCCACAAAACCGUGGACCUCCGUCGCCCCUUGGUUCAGCCGUGAACCAUGGGCACAACCGCCACAAGCAACGACGAACCGCUGCCACCUUGAGGCCACGACCGCGAGCUCCUCUCCCCCUAUCAUAACGAGCACCGCUGCUCAACCACCACCUCCUGGAUCGAUGAAAAACAACACGAAACAGAGGAGAAAAGAAACCCUAAAACCGCCACCUUUCUUCUCCGAUCUCUGGCGAACCACUGAGUUUUUGGAGAAACCAACACCACGGCUAGACUCCCCUCAUCAUCCGCUCCAAAACCCCUCAAUCAAUUUGACGAUCGGCCGCCAUCACUCCAGCGACCGCCGCCACUGCCGCCUCCGGCGUCUUCUCCGACGAGCUUUGUUAUGAGAAAGGAUGUCAGUUUCUCGAAGCUCUUGAUCUCCUCUUCCUGAAUCCAAGGCUCAAUCAUCAUUAAGAGAGCUUGCUGGUCAUCAGAGGAAGAGAAGGCCGUGACCAGAGGAAGAAUUGAAGUUCAGCCCCACAGCUUGACACUUGAUGUAGUGGGAGAAAGACUGGAACACUUUAUGCUCCUCUAAAUAAUAUAUCUCUUGUUUUUGCUGUCCAUGUACCUUGUAAAAAUUAAUGAAGGAAUGUAGAAUAGUGUAUGUGUGUGGUGUGAGUGAUAGUGUUUGAUUGUUGAUUUCAGAGGGCUUUAGGGUUCAGCCCUUACUGUGCUUGAAAAGCUUUUGCGAAAACUCACAUAAAACUGUUGUUGUUUUCAAAUGUAGUAGUCGUUGUUAUGUCAAAUUCGCGUGUUUCGGUUCAGAUUUUGAAACUGUCUUCUUCAUAACAAUUGUAGCUUUUUCUGUUAGCAAACUUUUUCCGCUGAUUUCAUGUCA